rnacentral:rRNA from 1 species
AUUGAACGCUGGCGGCAGGCCUAACACAUGCAAGUCGAGCGGAGCGGCGGACGGGUGAGUAAUGCCUAGGAAUCUGCCUGGUAGUGGGGGAUAACGUCCGGCAACGGGCGCUAAUACCGCUUCCUAUCACAUGUGCCUCGUUCGGAUUAGCUAGUUGGUGGGGUAAAGGCCUACCAAGGCGACGAUCCGUAACUGGUCUGAGAGGAUGAUCAGUCACACUGGAACUGAGACACGGGCCAGACUCCUACGGGAGGCAGCAGGGGGGAAUAUUGGACAAUGGGCGAAAGCCUGAUCCAGCCAUGCCGCGUGUGUGAAGAAGGUCUUCGGAUUGUAAAGCACUUUAAGUUGGGAGGCGGGAACAAAAGAAUAAGCACCGGCUAACUUCGUGCCAGCAGCCGCGGUAAUAG